GUGGGCGUCCGGCGGAAACUACAGGGCUUGGGACCGGAAGACUUGAGGGGUACGUCUGGGGUAGGAGUGAAAUCCUGUAAUCCUGGACGGACCGCCGAUAGCGAAAGCACCUCAAGACGACGGAUCCGACAGUGAGGGACGAAAGCUAGGGUCUCGAACCGGAUUAGAUACCCGGGUAGUCCUAGCUGUAAACGAUGUUC
rnacentral:rRNA from 1 species